rnacentral:rRNA from 1 species
GCGGAGGGAUCAUUACCGAGUUUACAACUCCCAAACCCCUGUGAACAUACCACUUGUUGCCUCGGCGGAUCAGCCCGCUCCCGGUAAAACGGGACGGCCCGCCAGAGGACCCCUAAACUCUGUUUCUAUAUGUAACUUCUGAGUAAAACCAUAAAUAAAUCAAAACUUUCAACAACGGAUCUCUUGGUUCUGGCAUCGAUGAAGAACGCAGCAAAAUGCGAUAAGUAAUGUGAAUUGCAGAAUUCAGUGAAUCAUCGAAUCUUUGAACGCACAUUGCGCCCGCCAGUAUUCUGGCGGGCAUGCCUGUUCGAGCGUCAUUUCAACCCUCAAGCACAGCUUGGUGUUGGGACUCGCGUUAAUUCGCGUUCCCCAAAUUGAUUGGCGGUCACGUCGAGCUUCCAUAGCGUAGUAGUAAAACCCUCGUUACUGGUAAUCGUCGCGGCCACGCCGUUAAACCCCAACUUCUGAAUGUUGACCUCGGAUCAGGUAGGAAUACCCGCUGAACUUAAGCAUAUC